rnacentral:misc_RNA from 1 species
UCAAACUUGGUCAUUUAGAGGAAGUAAAAGUCGUAACAAGGUUUCCGUAGGUGAACCUGCGGAAGGAUCAUUAAUGAAAAAAUGGCGGCCUAUAAUUUGGGCUGUUCAUCAGUUCUAUUGUGAUACUAUUGAAGCAUAAUAUCAGGGCUUAAAGAUGGGGUUUUUGAAAAGUGAGUUUUGGCUUUGUAAUGAGGCCUUAAACUUCUUUUUGAGAAAACCGGCCCUGAUUUAUUUUAAAUAAGCCAAUUUUGACCCUUUUUGACUGAAAAAAAAAAAGAAUUUAAUAAUUCAAAAAUAACUUUCAACAACGGAUCUCUUGGUUCUCGCAUCGAUGAAGAACGCAGC